UACGUAGGGCGCAAGCGUUGUCCGGAUUUAUUGGGCGUAAAGAGCUCGUAGGCGGUCUGUCGCGUCGGCUGUGAAAACCCGAGGCCCAACCUCGGGCCUGCAGUCGAUACGGGCAGACUAGAGUGUGGCAGGGGAGACUGGAAUUCCUGGUGUAGCGGUGAAAUGCGCAGAUAUCAGGAGGAACACCGGUGGCGAAGGCGGGUCUCUGGGCCAUAACUGACGCUGAGGAGCGAAAGCGUGGGGAGCGAACAGG
rnacentral:rRNA from 1 species